GAUUGAGAUUGAGAAAAGCUCUUUAUAAAUGCUUUUAACAAUGGACAUUGUCAAAAAGCAGCUUUAUGGAAAUCUGGAUAUAAAGUUUAUCCCUAAUGAGCAAGCCAGAAAUGAUGGUGGAAAGGAAAAACUGCCUGAGGCAACAAGAGGAAGAAAAGGAAACCCAUCCUCUUCUGGGGGGAUGGGCUACAACAGCAGUAGACCACAUCGGGUUCCACUCCUGUCAGCCAAGAACAACAAUCUGAGGCUACAGUGGGCACAGACUGACUAAAGCUGGACAGGAUUGGAAAAACAUUGACUACAAAAACAUUUACAACUGGCCAGUGUAAAGGUGUUCCUAAAAAAUGCAUGACUGUAUUUUGCUUCAAAUAUUUGCCAUGUCUUUUGUUAUAUGUAUAGAUGGGAAUUACUAUUACAUGGGGUUACUAUUACAUUAGUUUUCCUAUUGGCUCAUUCAGGAAAUUAACAUUAUCUAAUGUUAACUAUUUAGCAACAAAUAGUGACUUUUUGUGUUCAUUCAUUAGUAAUUAAAAUAAAUGCAUAAAGCAUUAAUUCUUUCAACAAUAAUUGCUUCAUUAGUUCAUGAUCCCUUCCUGGUUAAUCUGUCAGUUCACCCUGUAUAUUUAUGUUAUCCAAUGUCCAUGACUAUGGGAAUAAAUAAUAACGUCUCACGGUUAUUCAUUAUUAACAAUCCAUUACUGGUUUAAAAAAAGUACUACCUUCAUUUGUGGUUUGUGAUAGGUUGCAUAGGAACUGUACUGUGAAGUCUUACAGUAAUAUUUAUGCAGGCAAUGGUAGUGUCUGAUUAAAUACAAAGCAACCACUGAAACAUCUACGCUUUGGGACAAAUGGGCCAAGGUUCAUUUUGCCACAAAAAUGUUGGACCUACGUUAUGUUAAUACACCUAAUAUAGCAUCUUGACAGCCUGU